CCUACGUGCGGCAGCAGUGGGGGAUAUUGCACAAUGGGGGAAACCCUGAUGCAGCGACGCCGCGUGGGUGAAGAAGCGCCUCGGCGCGUAAAGCCCUGUCAGCAGGGAAGAAAAUGACGGUACCUGAAGCAGAAGCCCCGUCUAACGACGUGCCAGCAGCCGCGGUCAUACGUAGGGGGCAAGCGUUAUCCGGAUUUACUGGGUGUCACGGGGGCGCAGACGGCGAUGCAAGCCAGGAGUUAAAGCCCGGGGACCAAACCCGGGACUGCUCUUGGAACUGCGUGGCUGGAGUGCAGGAGGGGCAGGCGGAAUUCGUGGUGUAGCGGUGAAAUGCGUAGAUAUCAGGAGGAACACCGGUGGCGAAGGCGGCCUGCUGGCCUGCAACUGACGUUGAGGCACGAAAGCGUGGGGAGCAAACAGGAUUAGAUACCCUUGUAGUC
rnacentral:rRNA from 1 species